AGGGAUCAUUACAGAGAACAUCGCCCUCACGGGUGACUCUCCAACCCAAUGUUAUAUUAUACCUUUGUUGCUUUGGCGAGCCGUCUCGGCCACCGGCUCACGCUGGUGAGUGCUCGCCAGAGGACCCCAAACUCUGAAUUAAAGUAUUGUCUGAGUACUAUAUAAUAGUUAAAACUUUCAACAACGGAUCUCUUGGUUCUG
rnacentral:misc_RNA from 1 species